GGGGGCGAUAGGCUUCGACGGGGGUAGAUAGAUCGUGGACUGCGUGCCGAGGAUCCCUGGCCCAGCUCGAUAAACCGGCCGGGAAAAAAACAAACGACGAGCCCAUGGCUCUUGCUGCGUAAAUAACGCAGUCGUCUUCGAUCUUCCGGGUCUCCGGGGAGGAUCAGUAAGGCGUCAUAUUCUGGAGACUGGAUGUGGAACCCGUAGCCACAGGGUGAAGCAUUGAGACUUAAUGGGGCUAGUGCCGGACCAACUUCUGUCCCUGCAGGGGGCCGGUGCGAAAAUAAGCGGGGGCUACGCACGUAGACGUCUGCGGUUAGCUGCUCUUGGACGCGGGUUCGAUUCCCGCCGCCUCCACCA
rnacentral:tmRNA from 1 species